GAUGAAGAACGUAGCGAAAUGCGAUAAGUAGUGUGAAUUGCAGAAUUCAGUGAAUCAUCGAAUCUUUGAACGCACAUUGCGCCCUUUGGUAUUCCUUAGGGCAUGCCUGUUUGAGCGUCAUUUAAACCUUCAAGCUAAGCUUGGUGUUGGGUGACUGUCCGCCUCACGGCGGACUCGCCUCAAAAUUAUUGGCGGCCGGUACAUUGGCUUCGAGCGCAGCAGAAACGCGAACUCGGGCCCGUCGUAUUGGCUCCCAGAAGCUAUCUUCACAAUUUUGACCUCGGAUCAGGUAGGGAUACCCGCUGAACUUAAGCAUAUCAAUAAGCGGAGGA
rnacentral:misc_RNA from 1 species